rnacentral:rRNA from 1 species
CCUUCGGGGGGUGGAGAGUGGCGCACGGGUGAGUAACGCGUGGGAACCUAUCCCGGGGUGGGGGAUAACCACUGGAAACGGUGGCUAAUACCGCACGAUCCCUGAGGGGCAAAGCAGCGAUGCGCCCUGGGAGGGGCCCGCGUCCGAUUAGCUAGUUGGCGGGGUAAGAGCCCACCAAGGCGGUGAUCGGUAGCUGGUCUGAGAGGAUGAUCAGCCACACUGGGACUGAGACACGGCCCAGACUCCUACGGGAGGCAGCAGUAGGGAAUAUUGGACAAUGGGCGCAAGCCUGAUCCAGCCAUGCCGCGUGAGUGAUGAAGGCCUUAGGG